rnacentral:lncRNA from 1 species
CUCUGUUUGAAGCAGAAGCUAUUUCACACUAGAUGUUGCCUAUGUUCCAGUGGCACAUAAAAUCCCACAUUAAACAAGACAUCAUUUUGUUGUACAUCUUUCAUCAUUACAGUUGGGUAAGGAGGUUGGGGAGAUUUUGUCUCUCACCACCUCUCAGGAAGUUGGAUGUCAACAUAUGAACCCCUCCCCUCUGUUACCAAGGGCGAGAGAUAUUGUGGCUUCUUCUUGGAUCUCUGAAUGGUGGUGAGAUCAAUCUCUGGGCCAGCCAAGUAUGGAACUCAAUCCAAAACAACGGACUUCUUUUGUUUCAUGUCAGUUCAGCUUCCUACAAACAAAAUUAAAGCAGCAUUGGGUUAGUAAUUGGAAAUGCAUAUCAAAGAGAAGAAGCUUAACUCAAAACAGAUUUUCC